GCUGGGUGUGGUGGUUCACACCUGUAAUCCCAGCACUUUGGGAGGCCAAGGUGGGAGGAUCACUUGAGCCCAGGAGUUCUAGACCAGCCUGGGCAACAUAGUGAGACCCCGUCUCAA
ensembl:misc_RNA Metazoa_SRP Metazoan signal recognition particle RNA